GAUGAACGCUGGCGGCGUGCCUAAUACAUGCCAGUCGAGCGAACAGAUGAGGAGCUUGCUCCUCUGACGUUAGCGGCGGACGGGUGAGUAACACGUGGAUAACCUACCUAUAAGACUGGGAUAACUUCGGGAAACCGGAGCUAAUACCGGAUAAUAUAUUGAACCGCAUGGUUCAAUAGUGAAAGACGGUUUUGCUGUCACUUAUAGAUGGAUCCGCGCCGCAUUAGCUAGUUGGUAAGGUAACGGCUUACCAAGGCAACGAUGCGUAGCCGACCUGAGAGGGUGAUCGGCCACACUGGAACUGAGACACGGUCCAGACUCCUACGGGAGGCAGCAGUAGGGAAUCUUCCGCAAUGGGCGAAAGCCUGACGGAGCAACGCCGCGUGAGUGAUGAAGGUCUUCGGAUCGUAAAACUCUGUUAUUAGGGAAGAACAAAUGUGUAAGUAACUAUGCACGUCUUGACGGUACCUAAUCAGAAAGCCACGGCUAACCACGUG
rnacentral:rRNA from 1 species